AAAUUGAAGAGUUUGAUCAUGGCUCAGAUUGAACGCUGGCGGCAGGCCUAACACAUGCAAGUCGAACGGUAACAGGAAGCAGCUUGCUGCUUUGCUGACGAGUGGCGGACGGGUGAGUAAUGUCUGGGAAACUGCCUGAUGGAGGGGGAUAACUACUGGAAACGGUAGCUAAUACCGCAUAAUGUCGCAAGACCAAAGAGGGGGACCUUCGGGCCUCUUGCCAUCGGAUGUGCCCAGAUGGGAUUAGCUAGUAGGUGGGGUAAAGGCUCACCUAGGCGACGAUCCCUAGCUGGUCUGAGAGGAUGACCAGCCACACUGGAACUGAGACACGGUCCAGACUCCUACGGGAGGCAGCAGUGGGGAAUAUUGCACAAUGGGCGCAAGCCUGAUGCAGCCAUGCCGCGUGUAUGAAGAAGGCCUUCGGGUUGUAAAGUACUUUCAGCGGGGAGGAAGGGAGUAAAGUUAAUACCUUUGCUCAUUGACGUUACCCGCAGAAGAAGCACCGGCUAACU
rnacentral:rRNA from 1 species